UACUAUCAAAGCUUGUGACCACUACUAAAUUAUGGAACCACUAGUAGGAUACGGAUGAUCACUGCUCUUAUAGAGCAUCUACUAUAAUUAAGAUAGUUAGUUUGUAAUGAAAGGCUAUGUCAAACACCCGUAGUGCUCCAAGAUUUAUUUCUUUUUUAAAACCCGGCCUCUGCAUCAAUUCUCUAAGAUCACAUGCCAAAAUCAUAUCAAUUCUUUACAUAAGAACCCAUCUAAUUGAUCACUUGCAUACAUGCUCUAAGAAGGAUU
rnacentral:lncRNA from 1 species